AAAAAUGGUUUGACCAAUUGCAAGGGAAUAAAAAAAUAGCUUCACACAUGAAAAAUGCCUGAUCAGAAAUAUUUUGACAAAAGUUUGAUCAUGCUUGGAUUAUUCUGGUGUGUGAAUUCUAUCUUAUCAAAUACCAUUUAGCAGGAUGUGGUAUGGUAAUUGCAAUAUUGUUUUGCAAUUUUUUAAUUAGUAUAGUUUCAAUCAAGGUAAACUGGAAAGGGGGGGAGUGCCCAAGCCAAAGAGCUCAACCAAUUAAUAGAUUAUGUUUUGGUGAUAAACUUGAUAAUUGUAACAAACACACAAAGCUUCCUUAACUUUGCAGCUUGAAUUCAGGAUUCUGCAUCGGACACAAAACAUUAAUGUUCUUUCAACAAUAAAUGCACCUACAUAUUUUUCAUCCAAGAAUACAAUACAAGGUGUUGCA
rnacentral:misc_RNA from 1 species